rnacentral:rRNA from 1 species
CCUACGGGUGGCAGCAGUGAGGAAUAUUGGUCAAUGGACGAGAGUCUGAACCAGCCAAGUAGCGUGAAGGAUGACUGCCCUAUGGUUUGUAAACUUCUUUUAUAUGGGAUUAAAACAGGGUAUGCAUACCCUCUUGUAUGUACCAUAUGAAUAAGGAUCGGCUAACUCCGUGCCAGCAGCCGCGGUAAUACGGAGGAUCCGAGCGUUAUCCGGAUUUAUUGGGUUUAAAGGGAGCGUAGGGGGAUGUUUAAGUCAGUGGUAAAAUGUUCGGGGCUAAACCGGGCCGGGCGGUUGAACUGGGGGAUCUUGAGUGGGCGAGAGGUAGGCGGAAUGCGUGGUGUAGCGGGGAAAUGCAUAGAUAUCACGAAGAACUCCGAUUGCGAAGGCAGCUUACUGGCCCCUAACUGACGCUGAGGCACGAAAGCGUGGGUAUCAAACAGGAUUAGAUACCCUUGUAGUC